rnacentral:rRNA from 1 species
ACGGAAGGCAGCAGUGAGGAAUAUUGGUCAAUGGGCGGCAGCCUGAACCAGCCAAGUCGCGUGAAGGAUGAAGGUAUUAUGUAUUGUAAACUUCUUUAGCCAAGGAGCAAUAGUGGUCUCGUGAGGCCUUAUGAGAGUACCUGGAUGAUAAGGAUCGGCUAACUACGUGCCAGCAGCCGCGGUAAUACGGAGGCUCCGAGCGUUAUCCGGAUUUAUUGGGUUUAAAGGGUGCGCAGGCGGCCUGUCAAGUCAGUGUUAAAAUCGUGGGGCUCAACCCCAUCCUUCCAUUGAUACUGCCGGGCUUGAUUGCGGUUGAGGUUGGCGGAAUUCGUUGUGUAGCGGUGAGAUGCAUAGAUAUGACGAAGAACUCCGAUUGCGUAGGCAGCUGACCAAGCCGUAAAUGACGCUCACGCACGAAAGUGCGGGGAUCGAACAGGAUUAGAUACCCUGGUA